GUGGCGGACGGGGGAGUAACACGUGGGUAACCUGCCCUUAAGUGGGGGAUAACAUUUGGAAACAGAUGCUAAUACCGCAUAGAUCCAAGAACCGCAUGGUUCUUGGCUGAAAGAUGGCGUAAGCUAUCGCUUUUGGAUGGACCCGCGGCGUAUUAGCUAGUUGGUGAGGUAAUGGCUCACCAAGGCGAUGAUACGUAGCCGAACUGAGAGGUUGAUCGGCCACAUUGGGACUGAGACACGGCCCAAACUCCUACGGGAGGCAGCAGUAGGGAAUCUUCCACAAUGGACGCAAGUCUGAUGGAGCAACGCCGCGUGAGUGAAGAAGGCUUUCGGGUCGUAAAACUCUGUUGUUGGAGAAGAAUGGUCGGCAGAGUAACUGUUGUCGGCGUGACGGUAUCCAACCAGAAAGCCACGGCUAACUACGUGCCAGCAGCCGCGGUAAUACGUAGGUGGCAAGCGUUAUCCGGAUUUAUUGGGCGUAAAGCGAGCGCAGGCGGUUUUUUAAGUCUGAUGUGAAAGCCCUCGGCUUAACCGAGGAAGCGCAUCGGAAACUGGGAAACUUGAGUGCAGAAGAGGACAGUGGAACUCCAUGUGUAGCGGUGAAAUGCGUAGAUAUAUGGAAGAACACCAGUGGCGAAGGCGGCUGUCUGGUCUGUAACUGACGCUGAGGCUCGAAAGCAUGGGUAGCGAACAGGAUUAGAUACCCUGGUAGUC
rnacentral:rRNA from 1 species